rnacentral:rRNA from 1 species
GACAGCCAGGAUGUUGGCUUAGAAGCAGCCAUCAUUUAAAGAAAGCGUAAUAGCUCACUGGUCGAGUCGGCCUGCGCGGAAGAUGUAACGGGGCUAAACUAUGCACCGAAGCUGCGGCAGCGACACUAUGUGUUGUUGGGUAGGGGAGCGUUCUGUAAGCCUGUGAAGGUGUGUCGUGAGGCAUGCUGGAGGUAUCAGAAGUGCGAAUGCUGACAUAAGUAACGAUAAAGCGG